UGCACUCUUGGGAUGUAAUGACUUA
rnacentral:piRNA from 1 species